rnacentral:rRNA from 1 species
CACGUAGGGGGCAAGCGUUGUCCGGAUUUAUUGGGCGUAAAGAGCUCGUAGGCGGCUCAGUAAGUCAGGUGUGAAACCUCCAGGCUCAACCUGGAGACGCCACCUGAUACUGCUGUGGCUAGAGUCCGGUAGGGGAGCGUGGAAUUCCUGGUGUAGCGGUGAAAUGCGCAGAUAUCAGGAAGAACACCCGUGGCUAAGGCGGCUCUCUAGUACGGUACUGACGCUGAGACGCGAAAGCGUGGGGAGCGAACAGG